rnacentral:rRNA from 1 species
AGACAGAUUAGUGGCGCACGGGUGAGUAAUGCAUAGAUGACAUGCCCUUUAGUUUGGGAUAGCCACUAGAAAUGGUGAUUAAUACCAAAUAUUACCCUACGGGGGAAAGAUUUAUCGCUAAAGGAUUGGUCUAUGUCCUAUCAGCUUGUUGGUGGGGUAAAGGCUCACCAAGGCUAUGACGGGUAUCCGGCCUGAGAGGGUGAACGGGCACACUGGAACUGAGACACGGUCCAGACUCCUACGGGAGGCAGCAGUAGGGAAUAUUGCUCAAUGGGGGAAACCCUGAAGCAGCAACGCCGCGUGGAGGAUGAAGGUUUUAGGAUUGUAAACUCCUUUUGUGAGAGAAGAUC